AUGCCUUAAACUUAUGCAGAAGGAAAGUAACAAUUUGGUGUGACACCCAAAACCUCACUGUUAAUGUGAGAUGAAUCAUUUAGCAGGUAAAGGUUGCCCCUAAGGUGACUGGCCUAUUUUGCAGGAUACCUGGGAGUCAUGAUCUGCAAG
ensembl:snRNA U12 U12 minor spliceosomal RNA